rnacentral:lncRNA from 10 species
UUGAGACAGAGUCUCACUCUGUUGCCCAGGCUGUUGUGAGGGGUAAAGCAGAUAAUGUGUGAUAACUCACAUGCCUAAUACACAGUAGGUGCUCCAUAAAAAUGAGUUCAUCACUUCUGCUAGAAUGGAAGUUCUUGAAAGCGGGAUCUUGGUUGGAGGUGGUCACUGCUGUAUCCCAAGCACCUGGAGCAGUCACUAGCACAUAACAGAUGCUCAACAAAUAUUUUUUGAAUAAAUGAAUUUCCUACAGCAGGUUCCUAAAAACAUUAGUCUCAUGAGAUGCUUCUAAAAAGAGACAGCU